rnacentral:rRNA from 1 species
CGAAAAGAAACCAACAGGGAUUGCCCUAGUAACGGCGAGUGAAGCGGCAACAGCUCAAAUUUGAAAUCUGGCUUCGGCCCGAGUUGUAAUUUGCAGAGGAUGUUUAUGGUGCGGUACCUUCCGAGUUUCCCUGGAACGGGACGCCACAGAGGGUGAGAGCCCCGUCUGGUUGGAUACCAAACCUGUGUUAAACUCCUUCAACGAGUCGAGUAGUUUGGGAAUGCUGCUCUAAAUGGGAGGUAAAUCUCUUCUAAAGCUAAAUACCGGCCAGAGACCGAUAGCGCACAAGUAGAGUGAUCGAAAGAUGAAAAGCACCUUGAAAAGGGGGUUAAACAGUACGUGAAAUUGUUAAAAGGGAAGCGUUUAUGACCAGACUUGUGUCGUGUGGCUCAUCCGAGGUUCUCCCCGGUGCACUCCACACGGCUCAGGCCAACAUCGGUUCUCGUUGGGGGAUAAGAACAGUAGGAACGUGGCCCUUUUCGAAGGGUGUUAUAGCCUGCUGUACGAUACCCUGAUGGGGACCGAGGACCGCGCUUCGGCUAGGAUGUUGGCGUAAUGGUCAUUAGCGACCCGUCUUGAAACACGGACCAAGGAGUCGUCCAUUAGAGCGAGCGUUUGGGUGUAAAACCCGCACGCGUAAUGAAAGUGAAAUUAGGUGAGAGCUUCGGCGCAUCAUCGACCGAUCCUGAAGUUUACGGAUGGAUUUGAGUAAGAGUUUUAACGGACGGACCCGAAAGACAGUGAACUAUGCUUGAAUAGGGUGAAGCCAGAGGAAACUCUGGUGGAGGCUCGCAGCGGUUCUGACGUGCAAAUCGAUCGUCAAAUUUGAGCAUGGGGGCNAAAGACUAAUCGAACUGUCUAGUAGCUGGUUACCGCCGAAGUUCCCCUUC